CUUUAUUGGAGAGUUUGAUCCUGGCUCAGGACGAACGCUGGCGGCGUGCCUAAUACAUGCAAGUCGAGCGAGUCCCUUCGGGGGCUAGCGGCGGACGGGUGAGUAACACGUAGGCAACCUGCCUCUCAGACUGGGAUAACAUAGGGAAACUUAUGCUAAUACCGGAUAGGUUUUUGGAUCGCAUGAUCUGAAAAGAAAAGAUGGCUUUUCGCUAUCACUGGGAGAUGGGCCUGCGGCGCAUUAGCUAGUUGGUGGGGUAACGGCCUACCAAGGCGACGAUGCGUAGCCGACCUGAGAGGGUGACCGGCCACACUGGGACUGAGACACGGCCCAGACUCCUACGGGAGGCAGCAGUAGGGAAUUUUCCACAAUGGACGAAAGUCUGAUGGA
rnacentral:rRNA from 1 species